rnacentral:rRNA from 1 species
UGAACGCUAGCUACAGGCUUAACACAUGCAAGUCGAGGGGCAGCAUCAUCAAAGCUUGCUUUGAUGGAUGGCGACCGGCGCACGGGUGAGUAACACGUAUCCAACCUGCCGACAACACUGGGAUAGCCUUUCGAAAGAAAGAUUAAUACCGGAUGGCAUAGUUUUCCCGCAUGGGAUAAUUAUUAAAGAAUUUCGGUUGUCGAUGGGGAUGCGUUCCAUUAGGCAGUUGGCGGGGUAACGGCCCACCAAACCAACGAUGGAUAGGGGUUCUGAGAGGAAGGUCCCCCACAUUGGAACUGAGACACGGUCCAAACUCCUACGGGAGGCAGCAGUGAGGAAUAUUGGUCAAUGGACGAGAGUCUGAACCAGCCAAGUAGCGUGAAGGAUGACUGCCCUAUGGGUUGUAAACUUCUUUUAUACGGGAAUAAAGUUAGCCACGUGUGGCUUUUUGUAUGUACCGUAUGAAUAAGGAUCGGCUAACUCCGUGCCAGCAGCCGCGGUAAUACGGAGGAUCCGAGCGUUAUCCGGAUUUAUUGGGUUUAAAGGGAGCGUAGGCGGGUUGUUAAGUCAGUUGUGAAAGUUUGCGGCUCAACUGUAAAAUUGCAGUUGAUACUGGCGACCUUGAGUGCAACAGAGGUAGGCGGAAUUUGUGGUGUAGCGGUGAAAUGCUUAGAUAUCACGAAGAACUCCGAUUGCGAAGGCAGCUUACUGGAUUGUAACUGACGCUGAUGCUCGAAAGUGUGGGUAUCAAACAGGAUUAGAUACCCUGGUAGUCCACACAGUAAACGAUGAAUACUCGCUGUUGGCGAUAUACAGUCAGCGGCCAAGCGAAAGCAUUAAGUAUUCCACCUGGGGAGUACGCCGGCAACGGUGCAACUCAAAUGAAUUGACGGA